rnacentral:lncRNA from 1 species
CAAAAAUGAAUACAAAAAUGACUGUAUGAAGCAAUGUUUGGAAGUGAUAUAAAAGUAGGUCUUUCUUGUUUUCUUUAUCUAAGAAAACAGCACAGAAAAUUAAAACAGAGGAAUAGCUGCAAGAAGUGUUGGAUAAUAUUAGGAAUCAGUUGUGGUAAAUGAUGAAAAUGAAAAUGCAAUGCUGACAGAGGAAAGUGCUGGUAAUGAGGAUAUAGGAAACCAACUGAAUGCUGGUGAAGCUAGAGUAAAACAUUUGGAAAAUAAGAUCCUUUGCUCAUUGUGUAAAGCCAAAAUUUCAAGUUUAAAUGAGGUAAGCAAUAAAGAAUCAUUAUAUUCACUUUGUGAAAAGAAGUAUAUUGUAAAAAACAGACAAUAUGCCGAAUUAAACCUGUUCAACUAAGACAAAAAGAUAAAAUUUAACUCCAAGUCAUUUCCUCCAGCUGAAAUUAGGGACAUGGUGAGGGUUCAAAUUCCUAAAGUGGACAGAUCAUGAGUGAUCCUAGAAAUGUUCUCUUUAUAGUGUUAUCUGUCAAAGAUGAUGAAUAUUACACACUUGCAAAUAAAUACAGAAAACUUCCUCAAUCUUACAUAAGAAACCAGUUUACUGUGUGCUGUGAAAAGUUAGUUUCAUUAAAUGAUGUUUCAAAUGAAGAAAAAUCUCAUUGAGAAAUUAGUAGUUUACAAUCACUUUCUGGAGAUCAAGGAUUUAAGAAGUGUUUUUGCAAAGCUAAAUGUGAAGUGAAAAAAUGUAAGUGUAAACCUUUAGGACUUCUUUGUACAGUAACAGUAAAUACCAUUCAAGUCUUGAUUGUAAAAACAAAACAGUAAAUUUUAAAUAACAAAC